rnacentral:misc_RNA from 1 species
UCUCCAUUGGUGAACCAGCGGAGGGAUCAUUACCGAGUGCAAACUCAUAACCCUUUGUGAACCUAUAUCUGUUGCUUCGGCGGCUCGCUCUCGGGCGAGCCCGCCGGUAAUAUCAGUAUCUCUGUUUGAACCCGACGAUACUUCUGAGUGUUCUUAGCGAACAGUUAAAACUUUUAACAACGGAUCUCUUGGCUCUA